rnacentral:snRNA from 1 species
AUACAUACCUGGACGAGGUCAAUGAGUGAUCAAUAAGACCCCUUGGCCUAGGCUUGUGACCUCCAUUGCACAUUGGAGGGGUGCUUGCCUAUGGUCGGCCCAAGUGGUUGAGCCUACAUCAUAAUUUGUGGUAGAGGGGGUCUGUGAUCAUGUUCCCCUG